GCUGGCGGCAGGCUUAACACAUGCAAGUCGAACGGUAGCACAUAGGAGCUUGCUCCUUGGGUGACGAGUGGCGGACGGGUGAGUAAUGCUUGGGAAUCUGGCUUAUGGAGGGGGAUAACUACUGGAAACGGUAGCUAAUACCGCGUAAUGUCUACGGACUAAAGGGUGGGACCAUUUGGCCACCUGCCAUAAGAUGAGCCCAAGUGGGAUUAGGUAGUUGGUGAGGUAAAGGCUCACCAAGCCCGCGAUCUCUAGCUGGUCUGAGAGGAUGACCAGCCACACUGGAACUGAGACACGGUCCAGACUCCUACGGGAGGCAGCAGUGGGGAAUAUUGCACAAUGGGGGGAACCCUGAUGCAGCCAUGCCGCGUGAAUGAAGAAGGCCUUCGGGUUGUAAAGUUCUUUCGGUGACGAGGAAGGCGAUUGUUUUAAUAGAACAAUCGAUUGACGUUAAUCACAGAAGAAGCACCGGCUAACUCCGUGCCAGCCGCCGCGGUAAU
rnacentral:rRNA from 1 species